AAGAGUAGGAGAAACUCCAUCUCAUUAUUCCUUAUUACUUAAGGCUCAUGGUGCAUGAUACUUCUAAUAACUGACAAGUUGUUGGAGAAGAAUCUUCAUUGUUUCUCCUUGUUUUGUGUGAAGAAGGCUUGGUGGUUUACUCGAUUCGUAUUGCACUAAAGUCUAUGAAUAAGGGCGAACACCUUAAAUAGCUAGGGCUUACGCUCCGUACGCAAAGUCGCUCUAGACAGGGGUAGGAGGGGAAUCGGAUAUGCACAUGGAUUCUUCUUAAUCAUGUGCGAGAGGCAUAAUUCGGGUUUGGACCUUGACGAACCAUAACCGGAGCAAAUGGAAAUAGACAAUAAUCGGAGGGGAAUCGAUCCACCUCACUCUAGGGCUUUGAUUCCCCUCAUGGAACUCUGUCCUCCAGUGACCUUAGAAUGCAAAAGGGAGAGAGGUUCGUCGGCGCCAAGGUUGUGGUCCACAUUUGGUGCUUACCUGGUCAUGAACUCACUGAUGUUGUAUGGGCUGCAGGAUGUUGUGAUUCUGCACAUGAAGUUAAUCAUUGGUUUCCAGCAGGGCCAAUUUGCAACAUGGUUGAAAUUUUCCUUCUGACUUGAUAUGGUGCAGCGGGGUUCUUGGCCUGGUUCAACGGAGUGUUUUGCCCUGGUGUUGUUUUGUUAACUGUGACCUGUUAGCUUGUUCUGCAGGGUUUUAUCGUAUUUGCCAAUUGGUUAAGAUGAAGGUCUCCUGAAGCUGACAUGGAAUGGAGCUUAUUAUGAACUAUAGUGGAUGAUAGGAACCUGUUUGCAGGUUAAUGGCUAGUGGCAGCUAAAUAGUUAUGACAGAAAAUCAAGGAUCUGAAUACAACUUUGUUAGAAUGCUAUUAAUCUCUGUUAACUUUGGUAGGCUGCUGGUUACUGGUGUGAAUGCUCAAGAGGCUUUGCUUACCAUGAUUGCAGUUGGAUUUCGCUGUUAGCUGGUGAAGUAAUUCAACUCAUUCUUCCUGCAGGACUUGAUCAAUAGUUGGCAUCAGAUUUUCCUGUUAAAAGGAGUAAGUUGCAUUGCCUUUUUUCUUCUUCUAUCAUACGUUUAGAAGUGGCAAAUGAAUGGUUGUUAAUGUUACAAAGUCUAUGUGUUCCUACUGUCAUGAGCUUGCCGCAGUUAGUCAUGAAUGUUAUGUUGUUGUUAUGAGUGAAUGAGAGGAUGUGCUAAUGUAUUAUUUGAAUGGUUAUUUUGUUGGAUGCUGCUGAAUAUGCAAUAUUAGUGUGUACCUUGUUAUAUAUGACAGAAUGCCAUUUGGACUAUUUGUGAUUGCUUGUUACAUGACAUGAUUGAUUUUGGAUGUAAUGUCAUGUACAUGGCUAUGAACUUAUAUGAACUUUGAUUGGGUUGUUGAUUUGUAUGCAAGGCUGAUGUGCAUUGAAUCAAAGCUUCACCAUGGUCAUUAUGGAAGUUCCAUGGUCAUGGUUAACAAUAAAAACAUGCUUGCUUGAAAUGGUAAACCAAUGAAUGGAAGAUGUAUGAGAUGGAGAAUGAAGCUUGAAGAGUGAUUGAUUAUGAAUUUCACAAAUUUAGAAAACAAGUGUUAACUUUGGUCAAAGUUGACCAAAAAGUCAAUUGUUGACCAAAGUCAACACUUGGUCAAAGUUGCCAAAAUUUGUAAUUUUUCAUGUGAUGAUCAAUGUAAUGGCUUGUAAUGGAUUGUAAAUGGUUAUUUGAAUGGACGUUAGAUGGUUUUUGUACAUGUAAA